UCUUGACCCCAGAGGACUGAGGAGGAAACAUGCCUUUCUUGUCUUGGAAGAGAAGCUCUGAACCAGAGGUGUGAAAUAAGGUCAGGAGACCAAGGCAAACACCCACCAACUGUGAAAGACAGAGCAUCUGAGGUGAUGUGGAAACCUCCCCUGUCUUGGUGUCUUCUGACGGCAGCCAGCGAUUCAAGUCCCAGCAACCUCUCCAUUGCUUUUCAGAAGGCCACCAAGGAACAUCAUCCCCGAGUAACCAGUUAACCAGCCAAUCCAGUGACUGAGAGACGUGAAAGACUUCAGUUGAUCAUGGUAUGAUGGGCAAAACGAAUAUAGUAGAUUGACCCGUCCAGCUGAGCUGCCACUCUUUAGAUGAGCCCAACAGCCAAGUGAUCUACCUAGCAGUCCAAAUGGCAAAGUGGACUGUCCAGCCCAGUCUACCAUUAGUUAUCCAUGAGUCAAGUGACCUGCCUGAUCUAGGCCAUCAACAGCUAAGCCCAGAGAAGAGUCUUCUCAGCAGCCAGAUGAUCUGCUUGACCCAUCCUAGCAAUGGAUUGACUCAUCGAGAUAGAUACUGUGUAAUGCAAUUUUAUUAUCUCCUCAUCCAGAAGAGAAACCAGCCCAGCUUAGCAGUAGAAGGACUCAUUCAUCCUUGAUAUCAUACCCAAAGCAAGCUUCAAGAGGACCCUUAGGAGAAAGGAAGGGACAAUGAAGGCCUUGAGUUCCAGAGGGAUGAGUUUCCUUGGCCACCUAUGUUCCUUACAUGUGUGCCUCAUGUUGUACUUUCUUAUUCUACUACCACCUCCCUGGACUCUGCAUAUAUUUAUGGAAGAUUGUGUCCCAGAUUUGGAGGUGAACAUUUUAUAACUACUGAUCUUGUUGGAAUAUUUCAUUAAAUGUCUUUGCCACAGAGAUAAGUCUACUGGCUUAUUAUUAAGAGGAAGCACAACAGUGGAGGCUCAUGUGCUGUCAUAUUACCCAUAAGGUUACUCGGAGGGUUACCCUUGGAGUGCCCCUCUGAGGACUCAACCUGACAGUGCCCAUGUGAAUUGGGGGAGUGAGGCCAGAGGGGGUGUUGUAUUUGUAUUCCUCAUGCAUAGCAUAGUGCCUGGAAAAUUGUAAUUGCUUAAUAAGUGCUUCUUGAUUGAUUCAUUAACCCAGAACAAUUAAUGUAACCUCUCUAGGUCUCAGUUUUCUCAAAUAUAAAAUGCAAGGUUUGAAUUAAAUUACCUCAAAGGUGCCUUUCAUU